ACGAGCGGCGAACGGGUGAGUAACACGUGGGUGACCUGCCCUCCACUCCGGGAUAAGCCUGGGAAACCGGGUCUAAUACCGGAUAGGACCUCUGGGUGCAUGCCUGGUGGUGGAAAGUUUUUUCGGUGGGGGAUGGGCCCGCGGUCUAUCAGCUUGUUGGUGGGGUGAUGGCCUACCAAGGCGACGACGGAUAGCCGGCCUGAGAGGGUGAUCGGCCACACUGGGACUGAGACACGGCCCAGACUCCUACGGGAGGCAGCAGUGGGGAAUCUUGCGCAAUGGGCGGAAGCCUGACGCAGCAACGCCGCGUGAGGGAUGACGGCCUUCGGGUUGUAAACCUCUUUCGCGAUCGACGAAGGUCCGGUUUUUGCCGGGCUGACGGUAGGUCGAGAAGAAGCACCGGCCAACUACGUGCCAGCAGCCGCGGUAAUACGUAGGGUGCGAGCGUUGUCCGGAAUUAUUGGGCGUAAAGAGCUCGUAGGCGGUGUGUCGCGUCGGCCGUGAAAACCUGGGGCUCAACUCUGGGCGUGCGGUCGAUACGGGCAUCACUUGAGUUCGGCAGGGGAGACUGGAAUUCCUGGUGUAGCGGUGAAAUGCGCAGAUAUCAGGAGGAACACCGGUGGCGAAGGCGGGUCUCUGGG
rnacentral:rRNA from 2 species